rnacentral:rRNA from 1 species
AUUGAACGCUGGCGGCAGGCCUAACACAUGCAAGUCGAGCGGCGCGGCGGACGGGUGAGUAAUGCCUAGGAAUCUGCCUGGUAGUGGGGGAUAAAGUCCGGACACGGGAGCUAAUACCACAUACUUUCAGUUGAGUCUAGGUCGGAUUAGCUAGUUGGUGGGGUAAAGGCCUACCAAGGCGACGAUCCGUAACUGGUCUGAGAGGAUGAUCAGUAACACUGGAACUGAGACACGGUCCAGACUCCUACGGGAGGCAGCAGUGGGGAAUAUUGGACAAUGGGCGAAAGCCUGAUGCAGCCAUGCCGCGUGUGUGAAGAAGGUCUUCGGAUUGUAAAGCACUUUAAGUUGGGAGGCGUUACCAACAGAAUAAGCACCGGCUAACUUCGUGCCAGCAGCCGCGGUAAUAC